CUCGGGAAAAGAAAAAAAAAUGAGUGCUUAUUUUCUAAAAACAUGUUAUGUUCUUCUACUGCUUUCUUUGCUUGUCUCAGGAAUUACUGUGACGUUCAACAACUCAAAUGAGUGGUGAAACAAAAUGCAUGGACAGAGAGAAGCAAGCAACCCUUAGCUUCAAACUAUACCCGAGAAACAUCGGACGACUAUCUGAGCUGGAGUUUCGAUCUUUGGAGAGAAAUUCUUUAGAGGAUAUCUCAUGCGGAAACGUGAUGACUGCAAACUUGGUCACUUUUGGACUUAUCAUAAUCAAAUAGAGGGGUCACCUGCGUGUUGUUGAAAAUCUGAAAGCCCAUUAGUGUUUCUUGAUUUAGGCAACAAUCAAGAGUCAGGGAAGAUUCCUAUCCCCAAAUAAAAAAUGAAAAUGGAUCUUACAACAAACUGAUUAUAAUGUUGAAGCCUAUUGAAGCCCUUGUUUUAUUUUACUUUAACACAUUUUUGUGAAGCUCAGUUUGGUGUGAAAAUAGGCACAUAAUAUGUUAGGCAUUCUCCGAACCGUUAGGCUGCUCAGAGUAUCAUGAAGUGCAUAGACAUGGUGGAUGCAGCUCACCGCAACAAACAUCGAAAACGGACGAAAAUUAAUGUUCACAGGGUCACAAGACAUUGAGCAUUAAGAUCUCAUUCGUGAUAUAUCCAAACGGAUUUCUCAAGACAUUGAGCAAAAAACGUUCAGUGGAAGACCGAGCUGUGUCACUUGCCCUCGUCAGAGGAUUCAUCGUCGGAAAACACGAGAGAUACAAUUGCAAAAGUUCUCCUGUUACAUCCUGUAAAUUCAAAUUCAAAUUUAAGUUCUAGCCGGGAUACGGUGGCGACCAAAUGGGCAUUAAAGCUAAUCACUACUUAACAGCGACGAUCAAAUGGAUAUUUUUAUUUAAAUAUAAAUUAUAUAUUUUUAUGAUAUUAUCUUGCAGGUCAUAAGACUCUAAAGCAGUUACAUCAAGACCGAACGGUAUCACUCACUCGGUCAUCUGGCCUCAACUCAAACUAAAUUCAGCUACAUUUUUCUGACCGUUCAAAAUUCUAGUGUUGUUUUUCUUCGGUGCAAAUAACAGGACUGUAUACAAACUACUUGGCCAAUGUUGAUCAACCAAUCGGCAGGGAACAUUUUUCAACUAGGUGAGGCAGACUCUUCGUGAGCUUUCACCUUGGUCUUAGGUCACGCUCCUAGUGAACUCCUAA
rnacentral:sRNA from 1 species